CCCCACCUCCUCUCUCCUCAG
rnacentral:miRNA from 4 species